UUUUGGGGACGGGACAGCGAAUGAAAACGAAGGGAGGAGCCAGGCAUGGAAAUCGGCUUACAAAGACUACUGAAUUGAGAUCCGGAUAUCAGGCCUCUUGUACCUCCUGGAUUAGUCGUCUGCAGCAAACUGCAGAGUGACUGCACAAGAGGGAAGGACACUGCCCAGUCAGUGUCCACUGUUAAAAUAUUCUGCUUUCCCAGCUUGUGACUCUCUCACGGUUUCUGAGACUUCGGGUCUCUCUUCCCGAGGCGACGGUGCAGGGACGGUAGAAGCAAGGGGUGGCCAGGCACUCAUGCGCUACCGCUCGCCAAGAAAAUGCACGUUGUCGCCCUGAGGUAGCCCAGGGGUCCGGGCUUGGGGCACGCACGUAGGAUGCCUGCCAUGGAUUUGGGAGUGUCUGCAGGCCCGGGCUGAGGAGUCUGGGCAGGAGAGUACUUGCAGGCGGUCGCGCCGCACAGACUUGUACGGUCGAGUCCUGCUCCCUCGACAGGAUUCGGAGCCGAUUUGACCUGAGAGACCAGCGGUGUAUAAAACUUGUCUCGGGUGCCUGGGAUUGCUGGACGGGGAGGAUUCGUCCCAAUCUUGAGCAAACAGUGAUUCAGGCGGAGGAGUCCUAUUUAAUCAAAAUAGCAGGAAGUCAUCAUAUAGUUCAUCUACAACAAAAAAUGCAAGUGCUUUCUUUGAACCUUUCCUUUCUUUUUGUAGAAAGCAUAAGUGCGCAUGGCAAGUUAGAGAAACGAAAACAAGAAAUCUGUCCCAAGUGACUUACAGUUUGUUACCCCAAAGUGGUGACCAUUCAGUGUUUAGAAAGACACAGACUUCAGCCUGUCUGUGACCAAGACCUUUUCUGCAAUCUAACAGAAUUAAGGUACAGCUUCAGUUCCCUCAGUGGUCGCUGCUCAGGUCAGAAAAGAGGCGAAAGACAGAUCUACAGCCUGCCCUUUUAUUGUUCACACCCCAAAGUUCAAAGAAUAUACACUUUUUUCAGUGCCUAUCUAGCUAUGUAAAAUAGUGCAAUAUAGAUUCUCACCUUUAUCAGCUGGGGAUAUUUGGGGAGCGGAAGUGGGGUAGCAGCUUGCCGAUUUGCAGCGUGUCAUCUUCAUUUGUGGAAUUCUCCAAUUUUCCUUCCAGCUCACAUCCUAUAUUUACAGGGAGCUUAUUUUAAUGUUUUAAUAAACAUUAAAACAUUCAUUCAGAUUUCUUUGUUUCACUGAAACUUUAGCACCUGGAAUGACACCAGUCCUCUGGUGGAUGGAGAAGAUGUCAGUUAGCUGGGAUUGAUGUCCUUGUGAAGUUACAACUCCGCAGCAGAGGAUUUCUUAUCUCCUCCUUUGCUAUCACUGUUUGCAACCCCCCUGUUUUCUUUUUGCCUUUGUUCAUGGGCUUCACUGACCAGGCUGCUUUGUUUCUAAAGUUUAUCUAAGACAUUUAAAAUAAAUGCCUCUAUUAUAGCAAAGCCACUGGUAUAUUGAGUGCUCUUGGUUCUAACAGUCAUUCCUACUAACAUUAUCAAACUAAAGGUGUGAUAUAUCGCUUUUCAAUGAUCUGUUGUAAGCCUUCCUUACUAUUAUGUCAUCUUUGUGACUCUUUGCUCUAGUUUUCUCUGGACGUAUUAAUUGCUUUCUUUCAUUGACCAGGCUAGUUGUCAUGUCUGCAAAAGUUCACUCCUGCUUAAGCUUCAGUUCUGUAGCUUGGUACAGGCCUCUUGAAAAUGGCCCAGACUGGCAACAAGUGAUUAUACAUUUCCACUGAGCAUGCUGUGCUCAUUUAACAAGAACACAGUAUUCUUGUAAUAGGAUCCUACCAGGGGUCAGUAGGCUGGAUCUGGCCUGUGGAGCAACUGGAUCUGGAUCUGGCCCACAGAAUCCCAGGGCUUUGUUUGUGCCGAGCCUGUGCCUGCACUGGGGCCGGGCAACUUCCAGCUACCCCCUUGCCACUGCUACUUUUGACGCUUUCCCAGACCAUAGAAAAGAACAUUUUCAGUCUAGUUUUUGAAUCUCAGUGAAACAAAAAAAUUGAGACUGGAGUGUGCAGUGAAAUAUGAAAGUUUGCAUAUGGUACAAAAUUAUUCUGGGUAAUCAGUUCCCAAGCAGAUGGCGAGCUGAUGUCUGUGGUGUCUAUGCUCAAGUUCUUGCUGGUCCAGUCCUGUGCCCCAAGGCUCACGUUGAAGUCCUCAUGGGGCGCAUCUACCCAAGACGCUUAUUGCACAUUAGCCUAAUAACACUGCGCAGUAGCGCAUCACAGCACAAACCGUGCUAAUCACCUACUGCACCUACUGUGCUAUGAGGCUAAUGCGCAGUAAGCAUCACUAAAUAACCGUGCGCUGGCACUACUGCACAGUAACUCCAGGUACUGAGCAUUUAGUCAGUACUUUAUUAAGCAAGUACUACAAUAAAUGCACAGUAUCUAAGAUGUGCACAUGGACAUAUAAACAUGCGCGCUGAGGACCAGGCACUCGUGAGGACUCAGGGUGCUGAGGUAGUGGGUUCUUGCUGAUCAGCGCUGUGAGUGGGGGUGCCGACCUUAGCCAGGUUCAAGAUAGCCCCUGCGUUUGGGCCCAGAGAUGGGCCAGGCAGCCAGCACCGCCUCAGCCAUUUGCAGGAUUUCCAUCUGCAGCCCUGGGGAGAACAGGGUUGCCCCAUCCUGUCUCUGUGGGGUGGCUGAAGUAGACCCUGUCCCCCAACUCCAGCUGCCACCUGGCUUCAGUUGUGGGGUCAUGUAAGUUUUCUGCAGGAAUAGUACAGAGUGCACCCCUGUCCAAAUGGACCUGAGGAGACCUGUCCUGCAGCCAUGGAUGCUGAGGCGGUGAUGGUGAGGGUCCUCAGGGCUGAGGGUUGCUGGGAGACUCAGUGGGGGCUCAUGAGGGACAGUGCCAGUCGCAGGGCCAGCAGCAACUGCAUUCUCCUUCUGCAGAUGAGACGGUGUUGUGAAAGCGGUGGGCCUGCUGGAAAUCUCUGCCAUUCUGCCUCCUGGGCCCCUUGCCCUCCCUCCACAGAGCCUUCCUUCCUGGCACAAGGAUCUGGUGAUAAUCCCCACAGCCAUCCUGGUGAGCUGCACCUUGUUUCCAGAGUGCAGCGGGUUCUCCAGACUUGGUCAGGAAAUGCCACUGUUUCAUCAUGGAUGCUGCCAGUUUGCUUAAUUUUCCUUUCUGUUUUCCCUUCUGUACACGUAUGGAGAAUUAGAGUAAGUGUCCUGUCUUUAAUAAUGUGCAUUUGCAUUUCUAAUCCAUCAAAUGCUUAUCUUUGUUUUUAGAGAGUUCAUAGCCAAGGACUUACCAGUUUUUACUUAUGAUGAGAAGGGAGACCUGAUAACUGAUAAUCCAUAUAUUCAAGUUGCUUUGCCUGAACCCUGCAUCUUUUCUCGCUGUCUAAAGUAUAAAUACGCUUGCAAAUUUGUAGAGGUCAGAGUUCCUUUGAGAACUCUCCCUGUGAUCACUUGUAUAGUUUUAAAUAAACCUAGAUGGCUCUGCCAAUUCUAAUACAACCACAACGCGAAGUUUGAUUUCUUCCACACCAGUUGAAGUAGCGCCUGAUGAACAUCCAAGUCGCUAAGAGGGAGCUGCCCGAGUAAAGGACGGGGAUGUGGUACAUGGGAGGUCCCUUGAAGGGGCCAGCAGUGGGAUGACCCAGUCUCUCCCCGUGAUGCCCUGCAGGUGCGGUUUGUGCUGGUGGGUAGUUGUAGUUCUCCCUGCAAGCUGUGAGCUUGUGAGUUGCUGAAUCCUGUUCCUAAUAAAGAUCAAGCUG